UACGUAGGGUGCGAGCGUUGUCCGGAAUUACUGGGCGUAAAGAGCUCGUAGGUGGUUUGUCGCGUUGUCCGUGAAAACUCACAACUCAAUUGUGGGCGUGCGGGCGAUACGGGCAGACUGGAGUACUGCAGGGGAGACUGGAAUUCCUGGUGUAGCGGUGGAAUGCGCAGAUAUCAGGAGGAACACCGGUGGCGAAGGCGGGUCUCUGGGCAGUAACCGACGCUGAGGAGCGAAAGCGUGGGGAGCGAACAGG
rnacentral:rRNA from 1 species